GAACUAUUCUUUCGCCUUUUACUAAAGAAUACCGUGUGUUGGCCACCCACAGCGGCAUACGCCAAUUUUUGGAGCCUUCUAUUUCUUAUAAAUGGAG
rnacentral:snRNA from 1 species